rnacentral:rRNA from 1 species
AACGGGUGAGUAACGCGUGAGGAACCUGCCUCAAAGAGGGGGACAACAGUUGGAAACGACUGCUAAUACCGCAUAAGCCCACGGGUCGGCAUCGACCAGAGGGAAAAGGAGCAAUCCGCUUUGAGAUGGUCUCGCGUCCGAUUAGCUAGUUGGUGAGGUAAUGGCCCACCAAGGCGACGAUCGGUAGCCGGACUGAGAGGUUGAACGGCCACAUUGGGACUGAGACACGGCCCAGACUCCUACGGGAGGCAGCAUG